AAAGAUUAUCGUGGUUUUUGAACCAAAAUAGCUUUAGGUAUAUACCAUCAUACCAUCGUAACAAAUGCUGUAAGUGCUUACCUGUAUGGCUGUGAGGUUCGAGGGGCAGAACGAGUGACGUUGUGAGGUUCGAGGGACAGAACGGGUGACGCUGUGAGGUUCAAGGGGCAGAACGGGCAACACUGUGAGGUUCGAGGUGCGGAAUGGGCGACGCUGUGAGGUUUGAGGGGCAGAACGGGUGACGCUGUGAGGUUCGAGGGGCAGAACGGGCGACGCUGUGAGGUUCGAGGGGCAGAACGGGCGACGCUGUGAGGUUCGAGGGGCAGAACGGGCGACGCUGUGAGGUUCGAGGGGCAGAACGGGCGACGCUGUGAGGUUCGAGGGGCAGAACGGGCGACGCUGUGAGGUUCGAGGGGCAGAACGGGCGACGCUGUGAGGUUCGAGGGGCAGAACGGGCGACGCUGUGUAUGUGUGUGCACGUUACCUUCUCCCAACUUCCCUGCAGUCCCAUUCUGUCACAAACCUGCAACACAUUCAGUGUCGGUCAGUUGAAGCACGUCCAGACAAGGGCGUCUCUGUCUGUCUCAGUCUUGCAGGACUGCAGGUACAUGCACUGCAUCUUAGAAUUGCAAGGACACACUACUUCAUUUGAAUGUAUUUUUUACUCAUUUUAUUUGAAAGAAUAAUUUUUAAUUGACCAGUCAUUUAGCCUAAUAGAAUCGACCUACUAGGUGUGUUGACAGAUAUCACUUGAAUCCUGCCUAAUGGUAAUAUAAUGGUAGUAUACUUAUAUAUGUCUAUAUGUUAUUGUACUAUAUAAUUGUUCCAUAGUUAUAUGAAUUAUUCACAUAAGUGACAAAAGCCUUCAGCUACGAGGGAGAAUCGAGCCCUUUGUCUCUCAAAUAUUAUUCACAUUCAUUGAAUGUAGCUUUGAAUGGCACAUCUGCCAGUCGUGUGUCAUUCUGCAUGGCGCCCUUAUGUCUGCCCACCUUUCCUGACUUCUGCUCAGUGUCCGCUCUGCCCACUGAAGCUGAUGCCAGUUUAAAGACCACGUACUCACCUACAUGGCCUGUCCCGUCUAUCAAUUCAUUUUGAUUUAUUACAGCACAUUGUUACGACUGUGGUUGUAAUUACUUUACGGUAAGUUAAACAUUAAAUGAAAAUACAGGGGAAAACUAAAAUAUAUCAUAAAAAAUGCCACAGUGCUAGUCAGCUAAUGAGGGUAAUCCCAUGCAAUGUAUAUUAAACCCCAACCUAUGAGCUGAAAUUUCCAAAAACCGAUAUGAGCCAUUUCAAAUUGUUAGACAUUAAACUGACACCAACAGUUUUAUUAAAGCUAUGCAUUAUUGUCAAAUAUAUGCUAAUUCCUUACAUUCAAAUAACAGCAGAACCUCACAAAAUCAUACAUUGAAAUAAUAAUAAAAAUAAACAUGAAACAAGUCACCUGCAAGAAACUUUAUAACUUUCUCACAAUGUUGAACUCUUAACACAGUGCAAAUAUAUUUACAUUUACUUACAUAACAUAUAGUACUAAAUUAUCUGUAACAAUCAGUGGAGGUUUCUUCAUGGCAACAGGUGAAGCAAUGCUCAGCAAAAAAAGAAAAGAAAAAUACUUUGCAUUCAUACUAGUAAAAUAUCUUUUUAAUGCCAAUGCAUCAUCACCGGGGGCGGCAUGGUGGUGCAGUGGUUAGCACUGUUGCCUCACACUUCUGGGACCCGGGUUCGGGUCUCCGCCUGGGUCGCAUGUGUGUGUGGAGUAUGCAUGUUCUCCCCAUGUCGUCGUGGGGUUUCCUCCGGGUACUCUGGUUUCCCCCCACAGUCCAAAGACAUGCUGAGGCUAAUUGGAGUUGCUAAAUUGCCCGUAGGAGUGCAUGUGUGAGUGACUGGUGUGUGAGUGUGCCCUGCGAUGGGCUGGCCCCCCAUCCUGGGUUGUUUCCUGCCUCAUGCCUAUUGCUUCCGGGCUAGGCUCCGGACUCCUUGCGACCCAGUAAGAUAAGCAGUUUGGAUGGAUGGAUCUAUCAUCACAACGACUGUUUCAUGUAGAACCUGUGCUGGAUUCUCAGUGGACUGUUGCCUUUUAAUGUCAGUACAAUCACAAUUGUCUGAGUUGAUAAUAUCAGCAAAUUGGCAUAACACAUUAUUAGAUGGUAACUGUGAAAGAGUUUCGUAACAGAACUACACUGACUGAUCUUCCUCAUGUCUCGUGUU